UAGGGAAUCUUCCGCAAUGGGCGAAAGCCUGACGGAGCAACGCCGCGUGAGUGAUGAAGGUCUUCGGAUCGUAAAACUCUGUUAUUAGGGAAGAACAAAUGUGUAAGUAACUAUGCACGUCUUGACGGUACCUAAUCAGAAAGCCACGGCUAACUACGUGCCAGCAGCCGCGGUAAUACGUAGGUGGCAAGCGUUAUCCGGCAUUAUUGGGCGUAAAGCGCGCGUAGGCGGUUUUUUAAGUCUGAUGUGAAAGCCCACGGCUCAACCGUGGAGGGUCAUUGGAAACUGGAAAACUUGAGUGCAGAAGAGGAAAGUGGAAUUCCAUGUGUAGCGGUGAAAUGCGCAGAGAUAUGGAGGAACACCAGUGGCGAAGGCGAAUUUCUAGUCUGUAACUGACGCUGAUGUGCGAAAGCGUGAGGAUCAAACAGG
rnacentral:rRNA from 1 species